CGACAAACUUCCUAGAACUCAGUUUCACUUUUGUAUUACUUCUGCAUCUGCUUAUUUGAUUUCAACCUUGCACGUUCAGUGUUCAGCUCGGAAAAGCUUCUUACAUCGUAAUUUAUUGUCUUCCUUGAUGCCAGACAAUAGAAAAUACUGUCGUUUCUUGUGAUGAUGAACAUUGUAUAGUUGUGGUAGGAGCUAGGGCCCUACCGGAUCUAGGGCGUAGGUUGUAGGGGAAGGAGGGGGAAGGAUGAGGGCUGGUGCGCGGCGGCCGGCGGCGUGGCGCUGUCCUUGCGACGGAAGCAGCGGCGGCGAAGGCAGGAGGCGGCUAGGGUUUAGGUCUCCCGGCUCCUUAAGGGAAGCCGAGCAAAUUAUGAUUGCUUCUUGCUUGAUUAGAUUGAUACAUCUCCUCUCCUUAUGUAGAGAGGUUUACUUGACUCCUAAGCAAACGAUCCUAAUACGAUAAGAUAAUUGGGCUAAGCCCCUAAUUAAGAUACUUGGGCCAUAACCCACUGGGCUAAGCCCCUAUGCCGGUCAUAACACUUCUCCCCGCCUGCACAAACAGCUCGUCCUCGAGCUGUAAGGUGGGGAAGCGCUUGCUGAAAUACUUGAGGUGAUCAACCAGCGUCAAACACCUUCGCAACAGCUGGGGCGGCAAGGUCGGCGGCGACGGCGUCCUCCGGAAUGUAGUCUGCAACCUCGAGGUAGAAGAGUCGUGGGCAGGCGUGGCUGGGCGUGUAGGACUCGUCGCAAUUGAAGCACAACCCUUGGCGGCGACGCUUGAGUAGCUCGGCCGAGGUGAGCCGGCGGAACGGGCGCGCCGCUGUCGCGGCGAGGGGUGCCGCGGAAGCCUGAACAGGCCGACACGGAGCGGGAUCUGGCCAGGGUAGCGACCCAGUGGCCCGGGACGGUGACUCCUGCUGGACGGCCACCGCGCGGCGCUCGAACGCGCGGGCGUAGUACAUGGCCGUCUGGAUAUCCUGGGGUCUGGGCUGCACCGCGGAGGUGGUAGGAUGCCAGCCAAGUGCGCUCGCGUGCGCUGUUCACGGAAAAACUGCUCACACUGGUUGAGCCAGUUAAGCGGGUCCUCCGUGCCGUCAUAAGUGGCGAAGUUGAUCUUGGCGAACCGUGGCGGCGUCUGGGUCGGCGCGCCAUGGCCGACUGGCUCGGCGGUGCAGAGUAGUGAUGAUGACGGCGCCCGGUCAACGGUGGGGAGACCGUCAUAGGCCCCCGCGGAGCCGGACGAGGCCCCAGACUGCAGCAUGGGUACCGGUGGGUUCCCGGCCUCCGUGUAAACUGGCGGUGGCGACGUCCCGGUUAGCCAGGCCGGGAUCUGGGACAGUGACGGCGGAAACCGGACCUGCUGGAUCGGGAGGUCUCCUGGUGUGGACUGGCCCAGUCCGGAGCUGGGCGGCGGCGGUGGGAGCUGGACCGGCGCGGCUGGGGCUAGCACGGGCCAGUGCGGCCACUGUGGCGCUGGGGCGGGCGCGGAUGGCGCCGUGAGAACCGGCACGGGCCACUGCGGCGGCUGGAACGACGGAUGGGCCCCGGCGAUCGCCGCGGGUACUGAGGACCAGGGCAGAUGCAGCAGCGGCAGAGGCGGCCCACUGGGGUGCCCCGCCUGGAACGGCGGCAGCGGUGGCCCGCCCAAUGCAGGCGCCCCCUGGGACGGCCACGACAGCGUGGGGUGGCCGUAGGCGGCGGUAGUCGCAGCCGGUGGAGGUGCGGGCCCGGCCAGGUACCGAUGGAUGCCCUGGACGGCCGUCACGAGAUCCUGCUGCAUCUGCCCUGGUCCUCAGUACCCCCGACAGUGGUCAUCGGGGCGGUGGUGAUGAUGGGCAACGGCGGCGUGGGUGUUGAUGACGGCAUGAUCGAACCCGAGUCUCUGGAUACCAAAUUGGUAGGAGCUAGGGCCCUACCGGAUCUAGGGCGUAGGUUGUAGGGGAAGGAGGGGGAAGGACGAGGGCUGGUGCGCGGCGGCCGGCGGCGUGGCGCCGUCCUUGCGACGGAAGCAGCGGCGGCGAAGGCAGGAGGCGGCUAGGGUUUAGGUCUCCCGGCUCCCUAAGGGAAGCCGAGCAAAUUAUGAUUGCUUCUUGCUUGAUUAGAUUGAUACAUCUCCUCUCCUUAUAUAGAGAGGUUUACUUGACUCCUAAGCAAACGAUCCUAAUACGAUAAGAUAAUUGGGCUAAGCCCCUAAUUAAGAUACUUGGGCCAUAACCCACUGGGCUAAGCCCCUAUGCCGGUCAUAACAAGUUGUUUCAGUGGUAUUAAUUGGAUAAUGAUAUUGUUAAAUGUUCAACAGAUUCAAGGGAAUAGCUUCACUUUUUAGUCUGAAGUUCUGCUUUUUUUACUCUAUACUCGCUUUUGAAAGCUGCAUGUUGUCAUCAAAAUGUUAGAUUGGCAUACCAGAGACUUUAGAAAUAGUUUACGGGCCACAGUAAAGAUUCUGUUUUUAGCCUGUUGUAGUUUUAUACCUGUGCACCGAUGCUUCCUUAUGAUUCGUAUAUGUUUGUCCAUAUCAGGAACUUUGCAUUCAACUACUUCGGUUAAACUGAUCAGAGUACCAGUUUGGUUUUAAGAGCCUGAAGUGAAUCUUUAAUCUAGACCCCUGCGCAUGAUUAGAUUCUACUUUGCACUGGGUGAGUACAUAUACCGGACCCGGAGUUCUGCUUUCCAUCCAAGAGCAACUUUCAACUGCACACCUCUCUCUCUGACGGACGCCAGCAUUGGCUGUCCUCUUGCUCUCUCCGGCAAUGCUCAGGGCAAGCUUGCUUGGACUUCCCAGCCAAGCCAACUUCUGAAGCCAUGUCCUAUUAGUUAGGGAGGGGCAAUAUGGAACUACCAGGCCAAGUAUCAGGGAUCAUGAAGUUUGACUAUCGUUUUACUUUGCCUAUUUUCUGUUAACAAGGUGUUUCUCUGGCUCAAGUCAAUCCCUUGUUUAUUUGCUACUGUGGGAGUGAGAAAUUGUUGUGUUUGACUGCAACUUGUCCCAUGAGAUUGCUGUUUGAGAUCCUUAUUCUCAUGCUUGUAUUAUUAUGGAUACAGUUUUAAUUUUGUCUGCAAAGUACUGUAGUAAGUAUCAUUAUCUUAUGUCAUGUACUCCCUCUGUUCACUUUUGUAAGUCGUUUUAGACAACUCAAAAUGGAUUGCUUUGCACA